GGAGGAUUAGCUCAGCUUGGAGAGCAUCUGCCUUACAAGCAGAGGGUCGGCGGUUCGAGCCCGUCAUCCUCCACCA
rnacentral:tRNA from 1 species